rnacentral:rRNA from 1 species
GGCCUGACUGGGUGGACUUGCCUUUGUGUAAGCACUGCUCCGAAGAGGAAGGGUGGGGGACUUUCCUUCGCUCUUUCUUUUCUUUGGUUGGGUCUUUCCUUCUGGCUAACCAGCUGCCUUUCACUGGGUUGGCUGGGGAUCCAGGACUUUUACUUUGAAAAAAUUAGAGUGUUCAAAGCAGGCAUUUUUAGCUUGAAUACAUUAGCAUGGAAUAAUAAAAUAGGACUUUGGUUCUAUUUUGUUGGCUUCUAGGACCGAAGUA